rnacentral:rRNA from 1 species
UCGCUGCCCGGGACUGAGUUGCCUCGAGAAAUGCGGGGACUUUCGGAGUUGGGUUUCCCUUCUCUGAUGGGAACCGCAUUAAUCGCAGUGGCUUGAACCGGGCAAAAGUCGUAACAAGGUGCGAUUAGGAGAACCUGACCGCGGAUCAUUGUCGAUCAACCUAUUACGUACUUGUAAUUUGAUUGGAAUUGAAUGGCUAUGAAUGAAUGGUUAUGAAUAUGAAUACGGAACGUUCGGUUGCUGCGUAGCGUCUGCUGGGGUGUGCUCUUCCGUGCACGCAUGGCGGUUACGUUAGGCGACUGCGGGUAGUUUGGCCUGCGGUCGCUCAGCAUUAAAGAUCAGUGGGAGUUGCUGGCGCCGGACACUCUUGCAUUGGACAUCGAAAUAUUACCUAGUCUCGUGACUUCGGUCGCUUGGCGAAAUUGUACAACUCUACGUGGUGGAUCACUAGAGUCUCGGUUCGAUGAAGAUCGCAGCUAGCUGCGAUAAGUAGUGCGAAUUGCAGAUACAAUGAGCACGAAAUCGUUGAAUGCACAUUGCGCCGGCGAGAUAAUCGUCGGCACGUUUGGAUUAGUGUUGAAUGUGCUAUUGUGUCGCCCCGCAAGGGUGACUGUGUCGUGGCGCGAGCUUCUCGGUAAGUUCCCGUCAUCAGAUCUAUUGUGGCAACACUUGCGAAGCCCUAAAAAGCCUAGCAUACCGCACCUCGUUGUGUCUCUCGUCUGUUGCUUUCGUGAUAGGACGUUGCGAUACGGUCUGCAAGCUGUCGCUAUUGGCUUGUGAUCGCGCAUUACCCUAUUCCCGUCGUGCCUCGAGUACGGGCGAAGCUUCGGCAUGCUAUGGAGACUUGCAGCAUUGAGGAUUCUAGCAAUAAUCAACCUAAUCUCAAGCGUGACUACCCGC